GAUGAAGAACGUAGCGAAAUGCGAUAAGUAAUGUGAAUUGCAGAAUUCAGUGAAUCAUCGAAUCUUUGAACGCACCUUGCACCCUUUGGCAUUCCGAAGGGUAUGCUCGUUUGAGUGUCAUUGUACUCUCACUCUCCCGAUACUUUUGGAUCGGGAGUGGUGGACUUGGGUACUGCUGCUUAACUGUGGCUCGCCUUAAAUGAAGUAGUGCAACUCUCGGUUGGACAUAGUACGGCGUGAUAAGUGUCUUCGCCGGCGCCUCAUUCGAGGGUGGCCGAUCGGGAGCUCUGUGCUUCAAACUGUCUUCGGACAACAUCUGACAACUUGACCUCAAAUCGAGUAGGACUACCCGCUGAACUUAAGCAUAUCAAUAAGCGGAGGA
rnacentral:misc_RNA from 1 species